AUUCUCCUCGCUUCCGCUAGUGGGGUAGGCGGUCUCACAUCUCCCAGGAAGAGUAAGGGGGCAGAGAUACCACCUCCCUCUCUAACAAGAAGUGUGCAGAAGGUGUUACAGGAGCCAUGAAGGGGCUCCUGCCAAAAGCUGGGGAGCGUGGAGGAAGCAGGCCAAAUUUCCUGGAGCUCUUGAUGCUUGAGCUGAGGUUUGGAGCAGGAGCACCCACUGCUAGAUGAGGAAUGCAAGAGAAGAGUAGAGGACAAGCCGGUUUUGAAGAGACUUUGGCCAAACAAACAAGCUGAGCUGCUCCUGUUUAAAAGAGACUAUUUUUCACGAGUGCUACAUAUCGGGAAACAAAAGAGAGGCACCAGAUGCAAAGAGCAUGUAAGCCAUCUUCUCUGCUUUUAAAGUGUUUCUAAAACUGACUUAGACUCCUUUAUUUAUAAUGACACUUGGUAUAAAUGACCUUUGGGUAACUUGGCUUUUGUAAUCAGAGGAUCAUGGGGCUUUUCCCUCUGGUUUUGCCUUCCCCUUGUUUUUCUCCCUAAAAAGGACAUGAUGGAAUAUAUUCUCUUUAUUCUGA